CUGAAAGAGGAAAAGAAAGGUGAAAGUGUCACUAAGGUCAAUGGAUAGAGUGACACAGUUUAUGUGACCUAGAUAGUGAGUAUAAUAUAUAUUUGCAGGGCUAGACAUUUUUAUUUUUACAUACUUUUGGCAUAGCUUAGUGAUAAAAUGGUUAAAUGAAAAAUGCCCUGGGGGUCUCCUUUCUACAAAUAUGUACUUUUCUU